AUACAGAGGGUGCAAGCGUUAAUCGGAUUUACUGGGCGUAAAGCGCGCGUAGGUGGCUAAUUAAGUCAAAUGUGAAAUCCCCGAGCUUAACUUGGGAAUUGCGUUCGAUACUGGUUAGCUAGAGUAUGGGAGAGGAUGGUAGAAUUCCAGGUGUAGCGGUGAAAUGCGUAGAGAUCUGGAGGAAUACCGAUGGCGAAGGCAGCCAUCUGGCCUAAUACUGACACUGAGGUGCGAAAGCAUGGGGAGCAAACAGGAUUAGAUACCCUGGUAGUCCAUGCCGUAAACGAUGUCUACUAGCCGUUGGGGCCCUUGAGGCUUUAGUGGCGCAGCUAACGCGAUAAGUAGACCGCCUGGGGAGUACGGUCGCAAGACUAAAACUCAAAUGAAUUGACGGGG
rnacentral:rRNA from 1 species